rnacentral:rRNA from 1 species
CCUAACACAUGCAAGUGGAGCGUGAAGCUUCUUAUGGAUCCUUCGGGUGAAGUAAGAAGUGGAGAGCGGCGGACGGGUGAGUAACGCGUGGGAAACCUACCCUAUACAGGGGGAUAGCCUCGGGAAACCGGGAUUAAUACCCCAUAAAACCUUAGCGCCGCAUGGUGCAUCGGUCAGAACUCCGGUGGUAUAGGAUGGUCCCGCGUCCCAUUAGCUAGUUGGUGAGGUAACAGCUCACCAAGGCGACGAUGGGUAGCCGGCCUGAGAGGGUGAUCGGCCACACUGGAACUGAGACACGGUCCAGACUCCUACGGGAGGCAGCAGUGGGGAAUAUUGCACAAUGGGCGAAAGCCUGAUGCAGCGAUGCCGCGUGAGCGAUGAAGGCCUUCGGGUCGUAAAGCUCUGUCCUAUGGGAAGAAUUUUGACGGUACCAUAGGAGGAAGCCCCGGCUAACUACGUGCCAGCAGCCGCGGUAAUACGUAGGGGGCGAGCGUUGUCCGGAAUCACUGGGCGUAAAGAGUUCGUAGGCGGCCUUUCAAGUCAGAUGUUAAAGGCAUUGGCUCAACCAAUGUAAGCAUUUGAAACUGUUAGGCUUGAGUGCAGGAGAGGAGAGUGGAAUUCCUAGUGUAGCGGUGAAAUGCGUAGAUAUUAGGAGGAACACCAGUGGCGAAGGCGACUCUCUGGACUGUUACUGACGCUGAGGAACGAAAGCGUGGGGAGCGAACAGGAUUAGAUACCCUGGUAGU